rnacentral:tRNA from 1 species
GGAUAUAGCUCAGUGGUAGAGUGUGUGCCUUGCAUGCAUGAGGUUCUGUGUUCAAUCCCCAGUACUUCCA